rnacentral:rRNA from 1 species
CACGUUGGAACCUGCCCAAAGUGAGGAUAAGCCACCGAAAGGUGGUCUAAUACUUCAUAAUAUCCAUCUCGUAUGGAUUAAAGCUUUAUGCGCUUUGGAGGGGCCUGCGUAACAUUAGCUUGUUGGUGAGGUAAAAGCUCACCAAGGCUUCGAUGUUUAACUGGUUUGAGAGGAUGACCAGUCACACUGGGACUGAGAUACGGCCCAGACUCCUACGGGAGGCAGCAGUAAGGAAUCUUCCACAAUGGGGCAACCCUGAUGGAGCAAUACCGCGUGCAGGAUGAAGCGUUUCGGCGUGUAAACUGCUUUUAUCACCGAAGAUUAUGACUGUAGGUGAAGAAUAAGGACCGGCUAACUACGUG